rnacentral:lncRNA from 1 species
CCAUCUUCUCCUGAUAAUCCAGAUCCGGGUCUCAGCAGAGAGUCCCAGACCUCCUUUUCCACAUGAACUUCCUCCAGAUCUGCUGUGAUUGGAUGGGUGAUCCGCUGGAGUUUUCUGAGUCCUUCGGUGGACGGUGUUGGUAGAGGACUGCUCCCCCUCAAGGCUCUUAAUGGUUUGCCAGACGUUUUUUGAGGUUGAACAAUGGUUCUUGUCCGUGAGGUUCCUGAACGCCUCCCAGACCGGACUUCUUCUUGCUGCCUGCUCUGCAUGCCGCUUGGACUGUCCAUACCGGAGACUUUGACCGUCCAGACCACCACGGGGUUUGUGGCUUGAAGCCAGACUGGUGACAUGAAUAAAAGGGAGCGACUUCUUCUGCAGAACAUGGUUUAAAUAUCUCCGUCUGCUGCUGUAGACUAGAACCACGGCGCUCCAAUGAUCCACUUAAAGUCCAGACCUCAACCUGGUUCAGAAGCUGAGGUGGAGCAUCAGAGAGAUGAACGCUGGAAAAGGGGGCGGAGCUGAAGCUCUUGCUGCUCUUCCUCCUCCCCCUCUGAGUUCUUCCUCCUGCGGGCGCGACAGAAGAAGGAAGUCGGCUUCUCCUCACAGCUUCACACAGACGGGCGCACAGUGACUUUGUCCGGAUCAGAGAUUUCCAGACUUGAUGAUCAUAGACCAGGUGAGCGGCUUUCCUUUCAUUUUCACUCUGACUGUCAGAGCUUAGCUGGAGAGCAUCGGCUUCCCGCUGUUUCUCAGUCUUUGGAGUGGUUGACAUGUUUCCGGGCGUCUCUCCUCUGUAGCGGAGUGAAGUCCUUCCCUUCACAGUAAACGUUCUAUGCAGAUGAUGCAGCAUUUUAAAUGUCAGAUUUGGGUCUUUGUGACCGAACGCCAUUCAGUGAGAUUUGACCAGAUUUUGAAAUUCCUUUAAAACGUUGUGUUCAGAGGAGGGGCUCAUCAAAAUGACAACCACCACCAGAGUGUGCCCUGUGUGAAAUCUGUCCGUCAGUUUUGUCCCUUUAUGCAAAUGUAGACAGAAAAACUUCUUUGUAAACAUUUUCAUGUUUCUGUCCCGCCCACUCCUCCCGUUCUUUAAUUCAGCAUUUGGUUCCAAACUUCUGGAUUAAUUAAAAAGUCUAUUUUCUGCUGCACAACGGAAGGACUCGAUAGAAGUUUCCCAUGAGAGCGAUCUAAAAAACAAGCUUUUCCAGCCUCUGAUUACAGUGAUGCAGUUCCCAUGAGUCAGUGUUAGUUGCGGCUUUUAUGACUGCUGUAGCUACAGCUACAACCAGAGACCUGAGGAAAAUGAUGAAACAAGGAUCCAGAUUAUCCCAGCUCCAACCAACCAGCAUCCGUCCGAGUACCGGGGCUUCAUCAUAUUUUCUGGACGUCUUCUAGUCGGGGCUCAGGCGGUUGAGCAGGUCGUCCAUUGAUCGAAGGGUCGGUGGUUUGACCCCCCCCCCCCAGCCAACCGUUGUUGUGUCCUUGGGCAAGACACUUUCCUCCCUGCCUCCACUGGUGCAUGAAUGGUCAAAGGCGCCAACUGGCAGCCACGCCUCCAUCAGUCUGCCCCAGGGCAGCUGUGGUUCAUCAGUAGUUACCAUCACCAAGUAUGAAUGAAUAACGGACACAUUGGAAGAACUUUGAGCGUCUGGAAAAGCAGAUAAAUCUGAUCUGUUAAUAGUCCCAAAAUGAAAAGACAGAACUUUACAGUUAAACUUUGAAUCUUUAUUUUUAUAACACUUUUCAUCUGGAACAGAAGACAAAGUGCUUUGCACCAGAACAAACACAUAAAACAAGCACAAUAAUAUAAAAAUAAGAAUAAAGCCCCCAUCCCCUUAAACUUCUUCAUCAUCCAGGGUCUUCAUCUGUAGAGAAACCUCU